AGCAACGCGUCGCGUUGCUAGGGCCGGCCAUGGCGGACGCCGCCGUGGAGGACCAGGCCCGGCCGUGGCCGCCGCCCGCGGGCGCCUACGCGGAGGAGCGGGGGCUCUUCCAGCUCCUGCAGGUAGUGCACAACACCGUGGUGGUCACUGUGGGACAGAGGGGAAACAAUUGACAGAGGAGUCCCAGCCUCCCUCAGAACCCCAGAGAAGGGCAGGAUUGCACAGGCAGCCAUUUCCCAAAAACACAAAAGCAUGGAUAGAAUUGCACUUGGAUAGAUGAGUCCCACCAAAAACCACUCUGGUAGAGAUCUGGAAGUCUUGGAGAGGACAUAGAGAUGCUUGCCCUGCAGAAAUGAGCUCUGGGCAGAGCAGCAGCAGGAGGAAGGAGCAGGUAACCUGCCUGAGCACUGCACAGACCUCAGGGCAAUCUCCUGCCCUGCCAUGCACCAGGAAAAGGAUGGAGAAACAGACCAGCACUCUGUUUGUGCAUGGACACUGGCAGUGUUUCCCCAAGAGCUGCAACAGGAAGCUGGGCAGCACCUUGUAGCCUCACUAAAGCCAGGAAGGUGCUGAGACACAACUGGUGGAGAAGCCAGGUGGGAAUGUGCAGUGCCAGUCCCCCAGCACCGACAGCCAAAUCCCAGGAGCUGAGCUGAGCUGAGGAGGCACCUACGUGGCUCGGAGGGCAGUGAAGUCGUUGCUGUCAUUAAGGAGCACUUUGCACUUCUCCAAAAGGCCAUUGGUCACACAGUCCCCAGGAUGCACAUGUUCCAUCUUGUGGCAGAGGUUGCGGAGGUCGUUGCAGAUGGAGAUGAACAUGUUGAGGAUGCGCUUGUCGGUGGAAUUGUAGCAGUUGUAUUGCUUGGAGAACUGCACCUGCACAGGGGGAAAACCAGAGGUCAGUGAUGUUAAACUGCAUUGACCUUGUGCUGCAAAGCUGUCAGGGUGAGUGAGGGGAAGCUGCUUUCUCUCGUGGCUCUCAGGCGUGAGCACCACGGGCUGUUUGCUGUCAUUCCUCAUGACUGAGCAAGGGCAGAGUAAGGGAUCUGUCCAUCAGCUCACUGAGCCUGCCUCACCCUGAGAGCUGCAGGAGUGCCACAGCCAAAGCCAGCUGUGCUGACAGCACUGCAGGAAUGGGCUCAGUCACUGUGGGGUGUCUGCCUGCUCCCUCUGCCCCUGCCACAGCUGCCUGGGCACAGCAGGGUGGGAAGUGAAGGCAGCCACCAAACCAGGAAUGGUUUGAUGUGUUUGCUUCUUGCAUGCUCUUUAUUUGGUACAUGGCUGCAACCUCAGCCCAUUUUUACCCUAAUUGCCUUGGCUAACCUGUUAGAGCAAUACUAUUCUCUGCUUGCCCUGAGCAGUUGUGUUACUCAGAGUGAUGGCAUUGUGUGGAAAUGUCAUGCCAAGGCAUUAAGUAUCUUCUUCAAAGAAAUUAUAGACUCUUCAAAAUACAAAAUUCUGAGUGGCUGGUUAGCAGCCAGAGCUGGGCUCCAACAGCUCCAGUGCUUUCUGGAAGAUUCCACGACAAGAGGGAAGGAGCUGUUCCAACGUGGGUUCAGUCUCUGCUUACAGAAGAUCCAUGGAAUGUGCUUGGCCAAAUUCUCAGCAGGUUUGUAAGAACAAUAAAAAAUGGCCCCUAA